rnacentral:rRNA from 1 species
GACAGAGGGUGCAAACGUUGUUCGGAAUUACUGGGCGUAAAGGGCGCGUAGGCGGCACAGCAAGUCGGGAGUGAAAGCCCGGGGCUCAACCCCGGAACUGCUUUCGAAACUGCUGAGCUAGAGUACAGAAGGGGCAACCGGAAUUCCCAGUGUAGCGGUGAAAUGCGUAGAUAUUGGGAAGAACACCUGAGGCGAAGGCGGGUUGCUGGGCUGAUACUGACGCUGAGGCGCGAAAGCCAGGGGAGCAAACGGG